GGAGGGAUGCCGGAGCGGUUGAACGGCCCGGUCUCGAAAACCGCGGGAGUCGCAAGAUUCACAGGGGUUCGAAUCCCCUUCCCUCCG
rnacentral:tRNA from 1 species